CCAUUAUCGCCUAUGGAAAAAACAAUUAAAGAUAUUGAGCCAAAUUACAAAAAGAUAAAUCAGAAGUUUCCAGAGUGAUCUAUGGAUGAUUUCACCUUAUACACCCGGGAAAAUUGUGAAAAUGAUGUUCCAGACAUAUCAUUACUUUUUAACCUGAGAUGACAAACUAGAGGUUUUAAAAGGUCCUGAAUAACUGAAAUGGACAAAAAUACACAGAUUUAUUCAGAAUGUCAUACCGAUGAAGAUCACAUAAAAAUAUUUGGAAAAAUCAGAACUAUGGAUUGCAAUAUGGGACAACAUCCCUAAUGCGCCUUGAAAUGAGGAACUCAAAAGUCACGUGUAAAGAAAAAAUCUCUGUGUAGUGAUAUUGGACAUGUUUCUAUUUUUAACAAAUGACUGAACUUAAUUAUUUGUGGUGAUUAGGAAAGUAGAGGAACAUAGAAUAAAUGUGUAAAAACUAUGGAGCUAUUGAAUGUGUUCAAAGUAUUAAAUUUUCAAAGAA